rnacentral:rRNA from 1 species
CGGACGGGUGAGUAAUGUCUGGGAAACUGCCCGAUGGAGGGGGAUAACUACUGGAAACGGUAGCUAAUACCGCAUAACGUCGCAAGACCGAAGAGGGGGACCUUCGGGCCUCUUGCCAUCGGAUGUGCCCAGAUGGGAUUAGCUAGUAGGUGGGGUAACGGCUCACCUAGGCGACGAUCCCUAGCUGGUCUGAGAGGAUGACCAGCCACACUGGAACUGAGACACGGUCCAG